rnacentral:lncRNA from 1 species
AGCUUCGCAGUGGUCUCUUCUAUGAUGGACCUGGCGGAAUUCGGAGAUCUGUUGGGAAGGAACCAUACAAGUAAGUUUCUUUCUGGUUUUUUUGUAAGUCGAAUGGUUAAUUUGAAGUAUUAUAUACUUUUUUGGGUAAAUGAAUAAUUAUAUUGAAGUAUUAACACAAAGUGGUCCAACCUUAAACAGAAAAUUUUAUUAUUCCAUGACUUUUUGUAUGACUGCAAUUGAACUGUGUGGAUUUUAUUACUCCAUCUACAAUUCUACAAUAAAUUCAAUUGAAGUGCAUGGAACCAUGCAUGUACAAUCUAAUAUAAAAACCAGCAUAAAGAAUGAAGGCCAAAUGAAUUAAAAAGAUAACAUUCUUUUUUUGUCUUAUUAGGGUAAGGUUACACAGAGAGCUAUUAAUCAUAUCAAAGUUUGAUUGUUGUAAGUGGAGUUUGAAAUGAGAAUUCCAGUUCAUGCCUUGUUUAAGCAAGUAAAUGAACAUUUGUAUUGAAGGUUGCCAUGGCCUAAACUAGUGAUUUAGUACAUUGAUAUAGAUGAGAAAUUGAGCUAUUAGAAUUUGUGUGUUUUUUCGUCUUCUUCCUUGGUGUUAAAGUUACAAAAGUUUGGGGGUUGCAUUUCAUUAUCAAUGAUGUGGUUCAAAAUUUCGCCACUUUUAUUGUGCUCCUUUUAUACUAUUAAAUUAAAAAAAAUUUAACACCAGUGCAACAAAGGGAUCUUCUAAUUAAUAUGAUUAGAAGCAUAAAAAGGGGGGGGGCUUCCACGUGCUUGACAAGAUCUGUAGCAUGGGAGUGAUAUGCUUCCUUGAGUAUCUUUCUUAAUUUAUUCAGUCUGUAACUCUCCAUUUCUCUUGUGUAUAGGGAUUUUAUGAAGACAAGCAAGAUAUAUAUUUAUCCCAACAUGAGCCUUUAAGGUAACAUGAUCAUGAAUGGUUGUCAUUUUACUAUUUCAUUUUUAUGUUAAAAUUGAUUGUUUUGCAAUCAUCUUGGGCAUUUUUCCCUAUGGUUGUUUCAAGCUAUUCAAUAUUUUGUUACUCUGCCCGUUAUUAUACGACAAAUGUAUUUUUGCGCAUGCACGUGGGGAAAACCAUUGAAAUUCAAUAUAUAUAAUUUGUUUUCUUGAAGAAUUUUCUGUUACAGCAUUUUAUAAUUGUAGGUUUAGUAUUUUUUCCACAACCAAGAAAAUAUGAAAUAAAUGCAUGGAUCAAAUUUAAGUGAGUAGUUCAGAGACAUAUGUUGAAUCAUUGGCAGUUUAGAUCCAAAAUACCCCUGGCCUUUAAAUAGCAUAUCUGUGACUCAUAUUUGAAUGACUACAACUUUAUCCAUUUUAUUAUGCUUUAAUAUUGUACUUAAGAGUUUCAAAAUGCAUUAUCUACAACUUGGAUGCAAUUUGAUGACUUCUUCAGAGCUCAUUUCAUUCCAUGCCAGCCGAAAGAUCUUAAGGCUUUCAAUGCCAUACUAACAAGGCCUAGCUUUGCAGUGCCAAGUUUGUAAAAUAUUAAAAAUUUGAGAAAUUCUCCUACCAGUUUUUUGGUUAUUGUUGUCUUUCUUUUCCUCGGUAUCAUUAAUUUGUGACAUUCUUCUUCUCAAAAUUGUAGGGAAUUCGGUGAAGGCAGUUGAGGAACAGGUUAAUUUCAUUUUUUGUUUUCACAAUAGCACAUGUGGUUUAUACUUUAUCGAUCUCUCAAUCUUUUAUGAUUGCAAGAAACCAGCCAAAAUUAUGGUUACAUGUAGUGGGAAAUGUAAAUACUAAGAAGGGUCAGAGUAGGAAGUGAGCAGUGAACAUGCUUUGAGCCAAGUAUUGCUGAGACAAGAAAUUUGAAUGUGGGGACUUUUAUUUAUCUAUACAUUUAAUUUCUGAAAAAUGUGUUAUAUGGUUAUGUAUUUCAUUCUCUCAUUUUCUUAAAGGUCGUUUAUGCAGAUUUUCUUUGGGCCCAUAGAAUAUGAUCCAUUUGAUCAUAAUAACUCAGAGCUAGUCACCAUUCCCAUCGAUGGAUUGGACCCUGUUCGAGGGAUUUGGGCCCACUGUAUGAUUCUCUGUGCCCUACUUUCUCUCCUCCAUUAUCCAAUCAAAUUAUUGGGCAGUGAUAAACCCAUAGUUCAUGUUUACUACUAUGACCCAGUGUUUUAAAACCCGGAAUUGGGUCCUGAACCGGUUAUCGGUUGAAUUGUUUUCGAUUGGCUAUUAGGACCGGUUUGGCUGUACGAAGCCCUAAAAACCUGAAAAACGACUUACUAUGGUUUGCAGAAGAAAAGACCGCUAUUGCUUACUUUAAUGAAAUUACCAAGCAUAUAUCAAUACCUAGAAUCUGGUUCCUAUAUAAGCACCACACAUUUAUUUCACAAUCUAAAAUGACAUAAACAAGUCAAAAUCAAUAUGAAGACUCAAAUAUCAAAAGCAUAUGUACAUAAAUCAAAAUAUACAAUCUAGAGCAAAUAUGAACGACAAGAUGGCUCGAAUCGAAUUCAUCACCGUGCCUUUAGGCGAAUUGAGGAAUGAGUUUGUGGGUUUUGGAUUUUGACAACUAGAUUAAUUAUAUCCACCAUGUUGGUUCAAGUACAACUAUGGUAGGGAUGCCCUCCUAACCCCGAGGUCCCCAAGGCUAGUCGAUUCCUCAUGUUCUCCCCCGCCCUGCUGCUAGGACUCUGGCCGCUAAUGGUUGAAAGUAGUCAUUAUAUUCCUCCUUGGGUGUGCAUCCACUUGAAGUUACUCUAGUUUCACUUAUAGAAGAACAAGUUUUACAGAACACCUUGACUUCUAUGCCGUAUAACUAGUAUGCCCAAUUGCCAUGUAGCUCGGGCAAUUCAGCUGAAAAAAAUAAUAAUAAUAAUUUACAAAAAACGGUUUGAACUAGUAUUAAAAAUAAGAAAAGGGGAAAGGAUGCAUAGGAAAGAAAUUGAUUAGGGCUGGCAGUGGGUGGGGGCUUGGGCUGGGGAAGGCUAUCCCUGGGGACCAUCCCAGCCGGCCCUGACCGAGCCGAUGAGACCCUAGACCUGGCCUUGUUAGGGCCGGGCUGUGCAAAUAUAAUAAACAAAACGACAAAUAUACCAUCAUCAAUCAAUAAUAAAAAAUAGAACCAUAAUCAAAUCUUUAAAUGCUAUAUAGUAAAAGAAAAAGAUAAAUAUACCAUCAUCAAUCAAUAAUAAAAAUAGAACCAUAAUCAAACCUGUAAAUGUGUUUAAAGCACUGAAGGUCUAAAGACCGUAUGCCUACAUAGUGAAUUGGUUGGCCCAAUUGAUUCUUCCAUCAAUCCUAAUUGAGCUUCAUCACCAAUGCUUAAAAAUGAGAAAGUAUCUCUCAUAGGGACAUUUUCUCUUUGAAGUGCACCAUAGAGGAAUCCUAUAUUAGACAUCUUAUCAGCUUCUACCACCUUCAAUGCCACUACAAGAGGAGUUUGCCUGCCACAACCUAGUUGCGCCAAUCCUUGAUCUCCUGCUAAUAAUUCUCCCUCAACUAUCUAUGCAGCUUGGGUUUUUGGGAAAGGGCCACUCAUUCACUCAUUUGAGGCGACUGUGGAUAAGAAAUAGCUCGCAAAGUGUGUGAAGAAGGGCCUAACUAGCUCAUUUCCAUUGGUGUGUCCUCAUCAAAUGAAGGACAAUAGAGUGGUUGUAUAUCUACUUCAUGAUCGUCUUCGUUAUCUCCAUUACCGCCAUUCAUGGUCCUAAGCUUCCCAAUGUCCUCUAACAUUAGGUUAAUGGAGUGGUUAGCACAAAGGAUCCAUACCAAAUGCUUCCUCUUACCCAUCAACUUCCUCCCUGCAACUAUGAAAUUCUUUGUAAUAUCACUAAAGACUUCAUCUACGCUCUCAUGUCCCACUUCCUCCACCUUUCUAUCCGACAAUGCGGCCAAUAGAUCGGAAUUCUUAAUUAUUCAUAUAACCUCUCCACUGCUAUAAUAGAUAGUUACACAUAGGAAAUACAACAAGAAAUUAAGAUAAUAUUUUUGAUCCCUCAAACAAUCAAACAUGAUCGAGACCCAUGUUCUCAGCCACAAUUGUUUAUACUUGUGUAGGCACCCUAUUCUGGCUAAGGGAAUUAUUGGAGACUCGUGACCCCAAUACCAUAGGGUCCAGACCAGGUCUAGACCUAGAGCUUUCUUAGACCUAUUCCAGACCUAAAACUAAGCCUUUUAACCCACUUAUUAUCUCAAUGUAGUCAUUCUAGAUACCCCUGAGCCUAAGAAACACAUCUAACUACCCUGCAUACCAACCGGACACCCAUAAACCUAAAAACUAAUGUCUUAGAGUCCUAAAACCAUAGACCCCUCAAAACUCACUUGGGCCAAAAUUGGUUUUCAAAUUGUAGAGGAGACUGUAAGCUUUCAAAUGGUUGGCUCGCCACCGUGCUCGUACGUGAGAUACAUUUAAUUGACCCCAAUAAAUGGAAUAAGGCGAAAAUAAAAGUUCACACAAGCAAAAUCAACAACAACCAACAACUUAAUUGAAGGAAGCAAGUGCUACAAAUUAAGUGCUUACCUUGGGGUGUACGUAUACUCGAGAUCUGGAUAAGCAGAUCCUCUUAGACAAUCCGGAUUAUAUCAUGCCGGAGGAUGCCCCACCAGGUCUGGUCACGCAGUGGGUAGAGGAAGGGGAAGGGAAGCACGAGAAUAUCUCCCAAGAGGGAAGUGAGGUAGCCAAAAGCCUACUGGCCUCCAAGUUAUUUGUUCUAGGAUGGGUAUCGAGCCC